rnacentral:rRNA from 1 species
UACGGGGGGAGCAAGCGUUGUUCGGAUUUACUGGGCGUAAAGGGCGCGUAGGCGGCCUCUGCAAGUCGACUGUGAAAUCUCCGGGCUUAACCCGGAAAGGUCAGCCGAUACUGCAGGGCUAGAGUGCAGAAGGGGCAACUGGAAUUCUCGGUGUAGCGGUGAAAUGCGUAGAGAUCCGGAGGAAGACCGGUGGCGAAGGCGGCCUGCUGGGCAGUUACUGACACUGAGGCGCGACAGCUAGGGUAGCAAACGGGG